AUUGAACGCUGGCGGCAGGCUUAACACAUGCAAGUCGAGCGGGGUGAUGGUGCUUGCACUAUCACUUAGCGGCGGACGGGUGAGUAAUGCUUAGGAAUCUGCCUAUUAGUGGGGGACAACAUCUCGAAAGGGAUGCUAAUACCGCAUACGUCCUACGGGAGAAAGCAGGGGAUCACUUGUGACCUUGCGCUAAUAGAUGAGCCUAAGUCGGAUUAGCUAGUUGGUGGGGUAGAGGACUACCAAGGCGACGAUCUGUAGCGGGUCUGAGAGGGUGAGCCGCCACACUGGGACUGAGACACGGCCCAGAAUCCUACGGGAGGUAGCAGUGGGGAAUAUUGGACAAUGGGGGGAACCCUGAUCCAGCCAUGCCGCGUGUGUGAAGAAGGCCUUAUGGUUGUAAAGCACUUUAAGCGAGGAGGAGGCUCUUUUGGUUAAUACCCAAGAUGAGUGGACGUUACUCGCAGAAUAAGCACCGGCUAACUCUGUGCCAGCAGCCGCGGUAA
rnacentral:rRNA from 1 species